UCUUAAGAAUUAUUUUAAAAAUCUAAAGUAGUAAAGUUGAAACUUAAAAUUUUGGCAGUAUUCAAUUUUUUAGAGAAAUAUGUAAUUUAAUCGAAAAUACACGAAAAUCUUACUUAUUUUUAUUUUGUAUAUCUCCGUUGACAGAUUUUUAUAAAAAAUAAAAUAAUUUUCUAUAAAUAAAAUAUGUGACAUCAGGUCAAGGUGCAGAAUAAAUAAGUUAUUAUGUAUUACAUUCAAAUUUAAUUGGGAUGAAUAAAUAAUUGAAACAUUAUUUUGAAAAUGAAUUUAUAAGUAAAAUAAAAGAAUAAUUCUAUUUGAAAUAUUAUUGAAUAUGU
rnacentral:rRNA from 1 species